rnacentral:rRNA from 1 species
CGUAGGGGCGAAGCGUUAUCCGGAUUACUGGGUGUAAAGGAGCGUAGACGGCUGUGCAAGUCUGAAGUAGAAAGGACAUGGGCUCAACCUGUGGACUGCUUUGGAAACUGUGCAGCUAGAGUGUCGGAGAGGUAAGUGGAAUUCCUAGUGUAGCGGUGAAAUGCGUAGAUAUUAGGAGGAACACCAGUGGCGAAGGCGGCUUACUGGACGAUGACUGACGUUGAGGCUCGAAAGCGUGGGAGCAAACAGGAUU